CUAAUGCAUAGCUGUUAUAUCUAUAUAUUAUCAUUUUCAUCUUUCGUUUCGUUUUGUUUUGACACCGAGGUUUUGCGUUCUGUGGAUAAACACAGAUCUUGUUAUUGCUGGUUUCAUAUCUAAGCACAGCCAAGUCCUGUUUCUUUCUUUCUACGGAUCCAACAGAUGGCAACAGAACGAGUCCUUUGCAUGAACAGUGGUGUGGGAGAAACAAGCUAUGCAAAAAACUCCACGCUUCAAGAACAUGGCUAGACUCAGAAGAACGUCUCAAAUCUGCUGGUGAUCCCAAUUCAGCUGCUUGAAAUUAAAAUAAUCACAACUUAGAUUCAAACUUUUACUUGGAAAAUAAAAAUUAUGAAUUUUUAAAUACUUUAUUUUUUACCUGAUUUCCUUUAACAAUUUGCAUAAGGAAAGCUAAUUAUUCCUUCAAAACAUCAACUUCACCAACUCGUGACUUAAGCACUUCAACUUUAGAUUGCAAUUGUGCUAUUGUGGCCGCAUCUGAUGAAG